GNAGCNGNGGUGNGNGACACUCUCUCUUAACAUGCAAGUCGAACGAUGAAGCCCUUCGGGGUGGAUUAGUGGCGAACGGGUGAGUAACACGUGGGCAAUCUGCCCUUCACUCUGGGACAAGCCCUGGAAACGGGGUCUAAUACCGGAUAANACUCCUGCCUGCAUGGGCGGGGGUUGAAAGCUCCGGCGGUGAAGGAUGAGCCCGCGGCCUAUCAGCUUGUUGGUGGGGUAAUGGCCCACCAAGGCGACGACGGGUAGCCGGCCUGAGAGGGCGACCGGCCACACUGGGACUGAGACACGGCCCAGACUCCUACGGGAGGCAGCAGUGGGGAAUAUUGCACAAUGGGCGAAAGCCUGAUGCAGCGACGCCGCGUGAGGGAUGACGGCCUUCGGGUUGUAAACCUCUUUCAGCAGGGAAGAAGCGAAAGUGACGGUACCUGCAGAAGAAGCGCCGGCUAACUACGUGCCAGCAGCCGCGGUAAUACGUAGGGCGCAAGCGUUGUCCGGAAUUAUUGGGCGUAAAGAGCUCGUAGGCGGCUUGUCACGUCGGAUGUGAAAGCCCGAGGCUUAACCUCGGGUCUGCAUUCGAUACGGGCUAGCUAGAGUGUGGUAGGGGAGAUCGGAAUUCCUGGUGUAGCGGUGAAAUGCGCAGAUAUCAGGAGGAACACCGGUGGCGAAGGCGGAUCUCUGGGCCAUUACUGACGCUGAGGAGCGAAGCGUGGGGAGCGAACANGAUNAGAUACCCUGGUAGUCCACGCCGUAAACGUUGGGAACUAGGUGUUGGCGACAUUCCACGUCGUCGGUGCCCANCUAACGCUUAAUUCCCGCCUGGGAGUACGGCNCAGGCUAACUNAAGAAUGACGGGGCCCNCACCGCGGANUUGGUUANUUUACCACCGAAACUUACAGGUNGNUUCCGAAGAUAAAANNGCCCUUGGCGUUNAGNGGCUGGUUNNACUNUCNNAUUGUANCCNANCCCUUCUUUCCUCUGGNNGGCAAACCGGAUGGAGGGNAAUNCCUUUGUCCNAGCCAAUNCGGGAUAACUNUNGNCCNAGCUAA
rnacentral:rRNA from 1 species